CCCUAACGGAAGGGUUAGAGAAAUGUGCAUUGCUUAAUGGGUUUCUUAUGAAGAUUAAAUGAGUUCGUGCAUAGCAGGCAUGGAACACACAGCAGUGGCUAGCACAAAAAUGAGCCCUUGAUGUGUUGGAAUGUGUUGUCAUUGUAAACCAGCCACUGUUGGCACCAGACAGCCUCGGGGUGCUAGAGCUGCCUGUGACCCACGAAUGCCAUGUGAACAAACUGACACAGCCAUGGCAUUUUCUCUAAAGCAAACACAUGAACUCAGCAGGUCCCUGACCACAGAUGUCCAUGGUGGGAGGUGGUGCUGGGUGAUGUCUGUAAUGAAGCAGAGAUUCCUGGGCCCCUCUGGGGUUUGGUGGUUAACAAUUCAUCCCAGUAGUCCAGGCCUGGAUCCCACAGCCAUGGAAUGAUUCCCUGGCAGGACACUGCUGGAGAGAGAGGGCCCCACAGACUCCAUCACUUGGGUGACCUUUGGUAUAAAAGGAAGGAAGAAACAGGAAACAGGAGGUGACUGCAUUUAUCUACAGCAGCCUCAGCUGUCUCUUGGCCUCUGGGGUCCAUGCUGCAGCUCUGAGUCUUUUUCAGAAACGGGAAUUCAAAGGAUAAGGUUUUAAAUCAUUGACCAUAGAGCUGAAGGUGUAUCAGGUACACAGCAAGGUAAGAAAUGCAGUCCCAAUCUUUUCACUGGAGUUUCUGCAUGGAUAAUCAGAGGAGUUUUCAGAACAUGCUAGAUAAGAAACAAUCUCUCUUGCACUCCUCUCUCCCUCUCUCUGUUUCUGUUUGUCUCUCUCUCCUUUCCUACACACUUCCCCAGGAAAGUUCGAUUUCCAUAAGCUCUUGUAGCUGCAUAUUUUACCUGUGGCUGGGAAAAAAAAGGAAUGGGUAGCAAGCCAAGCACCUCUGAAGCGUUUCUGCAAUGGCAACUUAAAUCUUCUGUGAAAAGAUGCUGGAUAGAGAAUACUGGAUGAGCUGCUCCAGUGUGGAAUGGUGCCUGAGGAAUUGCUAUUCCCCACCUCUAUUCAAUUUAGCACCACCGUUGUGCAUGUUUCGAUUAAAAAGAGGAACAAAACAUUUAUGUACUCAUUCAAUUCACCGCUGCCUUUUUAUCACGCAUCUUCUGUGUGCCAGGCACCACCCCACGCCUGGCAUCCUGCCAAUGGCCAUCCUUCCCAGGGCUGGAUUUUGCCUCUCCUCUCCUUGCGACUUACAAGAAUUUGCAUUUAAACUGCACACUUCACCUGUUGGUUGAUACCCAAAACCUUCUUAAGAGGGAAGAAAGCUUCUUCAUGACAUCCUCAAUGACACUGUCAAUCUCAGUUGCAAACACCCCCAGGAAGCCACACACUCAGCUCCAUUCAGCUCCAGCCGUGGUGUGAAUGAACAAGGAAGUGAGAAGAGUUUUUCAUUGCUUAUUGCCAGAAAAAUGUGUCUGCCAGCUUCAGUGUUUAUAAAAAGCAAUUUUGCCUCCCCCUAAGCUAGCAGUGUUUAAUAAACAUGUAAUAGAGAAUGUAGGUUUAAUAUUUAAGCAUCUCUAUGCCCCGAGUCUGAGUGAUGCUCUGCUACAUUCUUUCUGCAAAAGGGAAUUUAAAAGAAUGAUGAGAUCCAGCCCCGGCCUGAAACAAAGGCAGUUCCAGUGGAGUCUGCAGGGUUCACUCUUUCCUUCCCUCUCUCCUCAGAUAGCUGCUCCACGGUUUCCCCACUUAGGCAAAUGAGCAUCUGCUGUGUUCAUGGAAAUCGGUCCAAGUAACACAAUAGAGGCUGCUGCUCCUGGUGUGUGAAAUCAUCCCCCGAAUUAUCAAUUGAAGGAAGAUUGCAUCGUAAAGCCCUGGAGCACGAGCCUCGUUAGCACGCUCCUUCCAGCACAGCCGGGGCUCGGUCCGUCUGGCCAUGUAUUUGGCAACCAGUGUGUGCUCCGGCCCACCCUCAACUAAUGGGUGUUUGCAUGGGUGUGCGUUUGUGCAUGUGUGUUCACCGCCACUAGAGUGAGUUCUUUUUUGGCAGUUUGUUUGAACAUAUACUCACCCGAGGCGUGUGCUUG
rnacentral:lncRNA from 1 species